GUUCCGGUAGGUAAGGCUACCACAGGGAUAUGGAUUGCUGCCGCGAAGUAGUGGAGACACUAUCAGAUGGUUGAACAGGCAAUAUCGAAAAGCAAGGUAUUGUCUAAUGCAAUUUCACCGCCCUGCGAAGCUAAAGCUUGAACGGUGA
rnacentral:sRNA from 1 species